AAUUUUGUUAGUUUAAAAUAAAACAUUGAUUUGUGGUGUCAAAAAAAUAGAAAUAUACAAAAUUA
rnacentral:tRNA from 1 species